CAAAGGGUCGCCAACCCGCGAGGGGGAGCCGAAUCCCAUAAAGCCAUUCGUAGUCCGGAUCGCAGUCUGCAACUCGACUGCGUGAAGUCGGAAUCGCUAGUAAUCGUGGAUCAGAAUGUCACGGUGAAUACGUUCCCGGGUCUU
rnacentral:rRNA from 1 species